AGAUUGGUGGCUAAAUUAAAUGGAGGAAAGCGCGUGUUUUUAAACCGCAAAUACAAGGGUUCGAGUCCCCACCAAUUAG
rnacentral:tRNA from 1 species